CUUCUCAAGCGCCCAGUGAAGUGGUUACCUCCCCCCAACUCUCACACUGCACUUCUUACUAUGACAUUUAAGUGAUUUGUCUAUGUCUCCCAGCGAAUCAAAUUCAGAAUUGGAGUUUCAGGCAGCUGGCUUACUGCACAGCAAAGGUUUUUUCUGAGGUAAAUGAUUCACAGCUUCAGGAGAUUUGUUUGUUUUUAAUGUUUGUUAUCUCCUGGUUCAACUUCACCUUUCAUAAAUCUUAAAAAUAGCAAACUUCUCAGAAGUCUGCAAGUGUUUUAUUUCAUGAACAGCAAAAGCUUUCUUUUAUGACCUCAGGCAACAGAAAAGAAUUCUCCACCCUGGAGGCGAUGUGCCUUGCAGUCGGCUCCAAUUUGCUGAGAUCAGUUUUCCCCAUUUUCUGUGGACUCCUUUUGGGUUAAGAAUGAAAAUAUUUUGCCUUUAGCAUUAGUUGGAGGUGGCCCAGAACUCUAUUCUUCUAAUUUAAGAAAAUGAAAGAGAUUGGCUAUAAUGACUUUCAGACCCAAUACAAAACCCUGACGGAGAAAAUACUCAAAAGUAAAUCCAGCUUUAAAAAAUAUACAGUAGCUUUCAAGAAGAGCCCAUCAUGGUGGGAAUAAGGGCACAGACAGGAAGGGGCAGCCAACAGUGCUCUCCAGUCGCAGCUUCCUGAAAUUUGGAAGUAGUCCUCUCAUCUCAACCACCUGAACUGACAACGGCAGAGGUGAGGACUUUUGAUGGAAAAGAAGAGGAUUUCAGAGAGCCUUCAAAUGGAACACUGGUGCUGCCCCCAACAAAGAGAAGAACUACUUUCAACAUCAGUAUCUUGGAAUGGCGCCACUGUCAGCAUCAUGGACACUUGUUUACCUGGCUCUCCUUGGACACCUCAUGUUCUGAGGCUGAAACAACUUGUUCACCUGGCUGUAGCCCUGCACAUGUGAUGAGCUCAGCUGUACCCCAGAGAUCCUGCUGUUAGUAAUGCUGGAAAAGGUGCGUGUCUUAUCACGCACCUUUUAUGAGAGAUGAGAACCAGUUCAUAGAAUUAAAGAGGCGAUGUCUUAAUUAAUCCUCAGCUGGGUUUCUUAACUCAGCAAUAAAAAAUAGUCCUUACCAAAAAGGUUCACACUAACCACAAUCUCUCCCUACAGGAAACACCUGAAAACAUCUUUUUUUUUUUUAUCAUUUAUUGAGUGGGUGAUUUUUAGAUACUAUGGAACAAACAGUUUGUUCCUCUGGAGGAACAGGGCAGAAAGACAAAGUAAUUACAACAGGUUCUAGAUAAAUCUGCUGAGACUGGCCAGUGCUCUGGAAUUGCAGAAAGGCAGGCAGCUCAGCCAGCACUGCUGUUGAUCAAGUUUUGGAAGCUUGGUGAACCUUUUGCUUCCAAGUUUUGUAAAUAAAACUGAACAGUGGUGGUGUAGUUAAUCCAUUAAUUAUGUCUGAUUCAGUAAAGAAACAAAUAAUUGACAAAGUUACAUGUUAUGUUUAUUUCUUCCUGGUUUUUCACUGAAAAAGAGUUAAGCAAACCUCUCAAUGACCAGAUACUCAAGAUCUUUCAUGGCAUUACAAACAUUUACAAGUUUGUGGGUUUUUAAAAUCUGAUUUUGUGUGGAAUAUACCUUCUAUUUAUUGUGCUGAAUGUUUCCUUACUGAAUGUUGCACCCCAGCUUCAUGCUGUCAUCAAGCUGGUCAAACACAAAUUCUCUCUUGCCUAUGCUUCCUUAGUGGGUCACCUGUUAGCUCAGUGAGUGGCAUGUCUGCUCUGGGGCAGAGGCCAAACAGAAAUACAGAGGCGAGGACAACCAGCUGUGCUGAAAGUCACAGCAUCACAGAGAUGCUCUGCUGCAAUUUGAGGCUCCCCCUCAAAGCUCAUGGUGAUAUUUCAUCAUCACUCAAGAGUGUGGAGAGACCAGGCUUUCAAGAAGUGAUCAGGAGUUGGAGGCCCCGCCCUCUUGAAUGAAUUAAUGCCUUAUCUUGGAAACUUCUGAUAACAAGAUGAGGCAGGCCAGUUCUUCCUGUCUCCCGUGCUGCUUUGCCAUCUGGCUUUGUCACCCUUCACCAGACCAUCCUCAUCCCAGCCAGUACCACACUCUUGAACUUCACUAUCUCUAGAACAGUGAGAGACAAAUUUCCCUGUAAAUUACUCAGUCUCCAAAGUUCCAUUACUGUGACAGAAGACUGGCAGACUUUCUUCUAUCCUCUAACAUCAAAUUGCUCUGAUGUAGCAGAGAAUCGCAGCCCUAGGUCAGGGUGGGUCUUUAGUUGGAAAUUCUCUCUGGCCCAUGUUUCUCCCUUCUGCUGGCUCACAGGGUAUCUGGGAAGGCAUUCUAAAAGGAUUAACCAAAAUUUAACUCCACACCAAGAGGUGAAAAUACUUUAUGAUUUUGAGUUGUGUCCCAUUAGAAUGUCAUGAAGUUAAUUGUGUUGGCUGUGACCAUUGUUUAAAAUAUAGUGGAAUAAAACAAUAUAAUUUUUUAAA